CACGUAGGGCGCAAGCGUUGUCCGGAAUUAUUGGGCGUAAAGAGCUCGUAGGCGGUUCGUCGCGUCGGCUGUGAAAUCCCGAGGCUCAACCUCGGGUCUGCAGUCGAUACGGGCGGACUGGAGUUCGGCAGGGGAGACUGGAAUUCCUGGUGUAGCGGUGAAAUGCGCAGAUAUCAGGAGGAACACCGGUGGCGAAGGCGGGUCUCUGGGCCGAUACUGACGCUGAGGAGCGAAAGCGUGGGGAGCGAACAGG
rnacentral:rRNA from 1 species